rnacentral:rRNA from 1 species
ACGUAGGGGGCAAGCGUUGUCCGGAUUUACUGGGUGUAAAGGGCGCGUAGGCGGGCUUGUAAGUCAGAGGUGAAAUCCUGCAGCUUAACUGCAGAACUGCCUUUGAUACUGCAAGUCUUGAGUUCGAAAGAGAGAGAUGGAAUUCCAGGUGUAGUAGUGAAAUACGUAGAUAUCUGGAAGAACACCAGAGGCGAAGGCGAUCUCUUGGUUCGAUACUGACGCUGAGGCGCGAAAGCGUGGGGAGCAAACAG